rnacentral:tRNA from 11 species
CGGGGUGUAGCGCAGUUGGUAGCGCGCCUGCUUUGGGAGCAGGAUGCCGGGAGUUCGAGUCUCCCCACUCCGACCA